GAUGAACGCUGGCGGCGUGCCUAAUACAUGCAAGUCGAGCGAACAGACGAGGAUCUUGCUCCUCUGACGUUAGCGGCGGACGGGUGAGUAACACGUGGAUAACCUUGCUAUAAGACUGGGAUAACUUCGGGAAACCGGAGCUAAUACCGGAUAAUAUAUUGAACCGCAUGGUUCAAUAGUGAAAGACGGGUUUGCUGUCCCUUAUAGAUGGAUCCGCGCCGCAUUAGCUAGUUGGUAAGGUAACGGCUUACCAAGGCAACGAUGCGUAGCCGACCUGAGAGGGUGAUCGGCCACACUGGAACAGAGACACGGUCCAGACUCCUACGGGAGGCAGCAGUAGGGAAUCUUCCGCAAUGGGCGAAAGCCUGACGGAGCAACGCCGCGUGAGUGAUGAAGGUCUUCGGAUCGUAAAACUCUGUUAUUAGGGAAGAACAAAUGUGUAAGUAACUAUGCACGUCUUGACGGUACCUAAUCAGAAAGCCACGGCUAACUACGUG
rnacentral:rRNA from 1 species